UACGUAGGGGGCAAGCGUUGUCCGGAUUUAUUGGGCGUAAAGAGCGUGUAGGCGGCCAGGGAGGUCCGUUGUGAAAACUCGAGGCUCAACCUCGAGACGCCGAUGGAAACCCCCUGGCUAGAGUCCGGAAGAGGGGAGUGGAAUUCCUGGUGUAGCGGUGAAAUGCGCAGAUAUCAGGAAGAACACCCGUGGCUAAGGCGGCUCUCUGGGACGGUACUGACGCUGAGACGCGAAAGCGUGGGGAGCGAACAGG
rnacentral:rRNA from 1 species